AUCCCAAGGUUUGGGCACUUCCUCAAUAACUCCUUGAACCUCUCCCAGGCUUCACAAAAGGAUUCAUCUUCCAGCUGUUGAAAAAACAUGAUUUCAUUGUGAAACU